GACGAACGCUGGCGGCGUGCUUAACACAUGCAAGUCGAACGGAAAGGCCCUGCUUUUGUGGGGUGCUCGAGUGGCGAACGGGUGAGUAACACGUGAGUAACCUGCCCUUGACUUUGGGAUAACUUCAGGAAACUGGGGCUAAUACCGGAUAGGAGCUCCUGCUGCAUGGUGGGGGUUGGAAAGUUUCGGCGGUUGUGGAUGGACUCGCGGCUUAUCAGCUUGUUUGUGGGGUAGUUGCUUACCAAGGCUUUGACGGGUAGCCGGCCUGAGAGGGUGAACGGCCACAUUGGGACUGAGAUACGGACCAGAAGCCUACGGGAGGCAGCAGUGGGGAAUAUUGCACAAUGGGCGGAAGCCUGAUGCAGAAACGCCGCGUGCGGGAUGACGGCCUUCGGGUUGUAAACAGCUUUCGAAUGUGACGAAGAGUGAGUGACGGUAAUGGGUAAAGAAGCACCGGCUAACUACGUG
rnacentral:rRNA from 1 species